UCAAAUGUUAAGUCCUGAUUAAUCUCUAUGUUACUAAUCACAGAAGAGGAGUAAGAAAUUAACACCAAAGGCCUGAACAGAAACCAAGGAGCCAAGGCCCACUCCCAAGGCCCAUUGGCCUUUUCCUAUGCAUGCAGGGGACUGUCGAACCCACGGUAGGUGCAAAGAGCACACAAACUAAAGAAACUGAGGGAUUAUCUCCCUUUGGACCCAACGAUGUUCUUGAGGCCCAGACCGCCUCCAUCAUCAACCAGCUCACACACACGCGAGAUCCUCAUUGCCUCUGGAUGCAGAAAGCCACUGUGACGAAAAGAAAAAAGACCGAUCGUACCUCGUUCAUCGCCGACGAUCCACUUGCGUUCUUCGUAUAGGUUUCAUCUCCGGUUCGCGCCAUCAAUUAUGCAGAUCCGUACUUUGUGCGUCAUGUUACAGUUGAAGGACGGAGAACCGAGGUUUGUGCUUGAUCGUCGUGCGAUGUUGUUAUCACGGUUGACGAACGGAGUUCGAUCGCUGCUAACUGAAGAUGAACGAAACCGAUUCAGAUCGUGCGCCUUCGAGACCGAGAACGACUUCGUGCUCUUAGGCUUCUGCUUCCAUUCCUUUCUUCUGUUUCAACGUUGCUUCCGAGUCGUGGUUUUGACGCCGCUUUUGGUUGUUACAGGUUGAAGACGGUUGAAGGAUUGGAGUUGGAUUGAAGGAUGAAGAGAAGUGAAUCGAAGUGGUGAAGGUUUCGGUUGCGGUGGAAGAGGUGGUGGCUCUUUGAAGAAGAAAGAGGAGGUUGAAGUGGUGGUUCUUUGGAGAAGAAAGAGGAGGUUGAAGUGGUGGUUAACGGUUUUGUGAGUUUGUUACGGUUGUUGAAGGAAGUGAGAAGAAGCUCGGUUAGGGAGGGUUUUGCAGAAUGAAGAAGGUAGAAGGUGAUGAAGUGGAAUCCUUGGAAGAAUGAGAGGGAGUGAAGAUUCUGAAAUCUUCAACUGCCGCAGAGUUAUGCUUUUAGCAAUGUCAUGUCUGUGACAGAAGAAAGCCUUGAGAGGCAAUGUCUACCAUGGCCAACAACUCCAUAAGGCCUUCUAAUUGUCAACCGCCAUAGUUAAAUUGGUUAGCAGCUUCAAUGACACUUCGAUAAAAAAACAGGAAACAUACAAACUGCCACUGAAAUUCCUGAAUUCUGGAACGGAACCGAAGUGCAUUUGCAUUGCAGGCUGGAUUUUGAUUAACUUGGUUUUGUAAUUCUGCAGGUGGGCUAUGUUGGUUCAGUGUACAUGUUGUCGUAACUGCCGUAGUCACAAUUCUAGCUGCGUUGUUGGGAGCUCGCCAAUUUGAACCAUUGAGACUGCAAAAGCUGACGGCCUGGUACCAGAAACCAGAGGAGUACCUGAAGUUAUUGAGAUGGUCGGCAUUCCGGAUAAAGAGCUUUCAGUUUAUCUUGUAGCAGCUUGCGGUUCUCUCGGUGGCACUGGCAGCUUAUGCCUUUUUUCAAUUAAUUGGCUUAUGUAAACCACUGUUUGGAUAAUAUAUUAAGGAUUGCAUUAUGUAACGGUUGGGAUGGCACUGACUUAAUUCCUAUGGUACUGUUUCAGUGUAAUUUGAAAAAUUAGGAUAGAAUAGAAUGAAUAUGCAAUGGUAUUGUCAUUAGUAAGAAUGGUUAUUUGAAUUUGCUUGUAGAAUUUUGAUAAUGGUUUUGGAAUGUAUGCAAUAUGGCAAUGUUUGGAA